CAGCCGCCGCGGUAAUACGUAGGUGGCAAGCGUUGUCCGGAAUUAUUGGGCGUAAAGGGCUCGCAGGCGGUUUCUUAAGUCUGAUGUGGAAGCCCCCGGCUCAACCGGGGAGGGUCAUUGGAAACUGGGAAACUUGAGUGCAGAAGAGGAGAGUGGAAUUCCACGUGUAGCGGUGAAAUGCGUAGAGAUGAGGAGGAACACCAGUGGCGAAGGCGACUCUCUGGUCUGUAACUGACGCUGAGGAGCGAAAGCGUGGGGAGCGAACAGGAUUAGAUACCCGCGUAGUCCCUGUCUCUUAUAC
rnacentral:rRNA from 1 species